UUAAGCGACUAAGCGUACACGGUGGAUGCCCUGGCAGUCAGAGGCGAUGAAGGACGUGCUAAUCUGCGAUAAGCGUCGGUAAGGUGAUAUGAACCGUUAUAACCGGCGAUUUCCGAAUGGGGAAACCCAGUGUGUUUCGACACACUAUCAUUAACUGAAUCCAUAGGUUAAUGAGGCGAACCGGGGGAACUGAAACAUCUAAGUACCCCGAGGAAAAGAAAUCAACCGAGAUUCCCCCAGUAGCGGCGAGCGAACGGGGAGCAGCCCAGAGCCUGAAUCAGUGUGUGUGUUAGUGGAAGCGUCUGGAAAGGCGCGCGAUACAGGGUGACAGCCCCGUACACAAAAAUGCACAUGCUGUGAGCUCGAUGAGUAGGGCGGGACACGUGGUAUCCUGUCUGAAUAUGGGGGGACCAUCCUCCAAGGCUAAAUACUCCUGACUGACCGAUAGUGAACCAGUACCGUGAGGGAAAGGCGAAAAGAACCCCGGCGAGGGGAGUGAAAAAGAACCUGAAACCGUGUACGUACAAGCAGUGGGAGCACGCUUAGGCGUGUGACUGCGUACCUUUUGUAUAAUGGGUCAGCGACUUAUAUUCUGUAGCAAGGUUAACCGAAUAGGGGAGCCGAAGGGAAACCGAGUCUUAACUGGGCGUUAAGUUGCAGGGUAUAGACCCGAAACCCGGUGAUCUAGCCAUGGGCAGGUUGAAGGUUGGGUAACACUAACUGGAGGACCGAACCGACUAAUGUUGAAAAAUUAGCGGAUGACUUGUGGCUGGGGGUGAAAGGCCAAUCAAACCGGGAGAUAGCUGGUUCUCCCCGAAAGCUAUUUAGGUAGCGCCUCGUGAAUUCAUCUCCGGGGGUAGAGCACUGUUUCGGCAAGGGGGUCAUCCCGACUUACCAACCCGAUGCAAACUGCGAAUACCGGAGAAUGUUAUCACGGGAGACACACGGCGGGUGCUAACGUCCGUCGUGAAGAGGGAAACAACCCAGACCGCCAGCUAAGGUCCCAAAGUCAUGGUUAAGUGGGAAACGAUGUGGGAAGGCCCAGACAGCCAGGAUGUUGGCUUAGAAGCAGCCAUCAUUUAAAGAAAGCGUAAUAGCUCACUGGUCGAGUCGGCCUGCGCGGAAGAUGUAACGGGGCUAAACCAUGCACCGAAGCUGCGGCAGCGACGCUUAUGCGUUGUUGGGUAGGGGAGCGUUCUGUAAGCCUGUGAAGGUGUGCUGUGAGGCAUGCUGGAGGUAUCAGAAGUGCGAAUGCUGACAUAAGUAACGAUAAAGCGGGUGAAAAGCCCGCUCGCCGGAAGACCAAGGGUUCCUGUCCAACGUUAAUCGGGGCAGGGUGAGUCGACCCCUAAGGCGAGGCCGAAAGGCGUAGUCGAUGGGAAACAGGUUAAUAUUCCUGUACUUGGUGUUACUGCGAAGGGGGGACGGAGAAGGCUAUGUUGGCCGGGCGACGGUUGUCCCGGUUUAAGCGUGUAGGCUGGUUUUCCAGGCAAAUCCGGAAAAUCAAGGCUGAGGCGUGAUGACGAGGCACUACGGUGCUGAAGCAACAAAUGCCCUGCUUCCAGGAAAAGCCUCUAAGCAUCAGGUAACAUCAAAUCGUACCCCAAACCGACACAGGUGGUCAGGUAGAGAAUACCAAGGCGCUUGAGAGAACUCGGGUGAAGGAACUAGGCAAAAUGGUGCCGUAACUUCGGGAGAAGGCACGCUGAUAUGUAGGUGAAGUCCCUCGCGGAUGGAGCUGAAAUCAGUCGAAGAUACCAGCUGGCUGCAACUGUUUAUUAAAAACACAGCACUGUGCAAACACGAAAGUGGACGUAUACGGUGUGACGCCUGCCCGGUGCCGGAAGGUUAAUUGAUGGGGUCAGCGCAAGCGAAGCUCUUGAUCGAAGCCCCGGUAAACGGCGGCCGUAACUAUAACGGUCCUAAGGUAGCGAAAUUCCUUGUCGGGUAAGUUCCGACCUGCACGAAUGGCGUAAUGAUGGCCAGGCUGUCUCCACCCGAGACUCAGUGAAAUUGAACUCGCUGUGAAGAUGCAGUGUACCCGCGGCAAGACGGAAAGACCCCGUGAACCUUUACUAUAGCUUGACACUGAACAUUGAGCCUUGAUGUGUAGGAUAGGUGGGAGGCUUUGAAGUGUGGACGCCAGUCUGCAUGGAGCCGACCUUGAAAUACCACCCUUUAAUGUUUGAUGUUCUAACGUUGACCCCUAAUCGGGGUUGCGGACAGUGUCUGGUGGGUAGUUUGACUGGGGCGGUCUCCUCCUAAAGAGUAACGGAGGAGCACGAAGGUUGGCUAAUCCUGGUCGGACAUCAGGAGGUUAGUGCAAUGGCAUAAGCCAGCUUGACUGCGAGCGUGACGGCGCGAGCAGGUGCGAAAGCAGGUCAUAGUGAUCCGGUGGUUCUGAAUGGAAGGGCCAUCGCUCAACGGAUAAAAGGUACUCCGGGGAUAACAGGCUGAUACCGCCCAAGAGUUCAUAUCGACGGCGGUGUUUGGCACCUCGAUGUCGGCUCAUCACAUCCUGGGGCUGAAGUAGGUCCCAAGGGUAUGGCUGUUCGCCAUUUAAAGUGGUACGCGAGCUGGGUUUAGAACGUCGUGAGACAGUUCGGUCCCUAUCUGCCGUGGGCGCUGGAGAACUGAGGGGGGCUGCUCCUAGUACGAGAGGACCGGAGUGGACGCAUCACUGGUGUUCGGGUUGUCAUGCCAAUGGCACUGCCCGGUAGCUAAAUGCGGAAGAGAUAAGUGCUGAAAGCAUCUAAGCACGAAACUUGCCCCGAGAUGAGUUCUCCCUGACUCCUUGAGAGUCCUGAAGGAACGUUGAAGACGACGACGUUGAUAGGCCGGGUGUGUAAGCGCAGCGAUGCGUUGAGCUAACCGGUACUAAUGAACCGUGAGGCUUAACCUU
rnacentral:rRNA from 1 species